GACGAACGCUGGCGGCGUGCUUAACACAUGCAAGUCGAACGGUGAAGCGCCUUCCUUUUUGGUGGGUGUGGAUGAGUGGCGAACGGGUGGGUAACACGUGAGUAACCUGCCCCCUUCUUCUGGAUAACCGCAUGAAAGUGUGGCUAAUACGGGAUAUUCUGGGUCUGUCGCAUGAUGGGUCUGGGAAAGAUAUUGUUUCGGUGGGGGAUGGGCUCGCGGCCUAUCAGCUUGUUGGUGGGGUGAUGGCCUACCAAGGCGGUGACGGGUAGCCGGCCUGAGAGGGUGGACGGUCACACUGGGACUGAGACACGGCCCAGACUCCUACGGGAGGCAGCAGUGGGGAAUAUUGCACAAUGGGCGCAAGCCUGAUGCAGCGACGCCGCGUGAGGGAUGGAUGCCUUCGGGUUGUGAACCUCUUUCGCCAGUGAAGCAGGCCUGCCUCGUUUGUGGGUGGGUUGACGGUAGCUGGAUAAGAAGCGCCGGCUAACUACGUG
rnacentral:rRNA from 1 species